rnacentral:rRNA from 1 species
GAUGAACGCUGGCGGCGUGCCUAAUACAUGCAAGUCGAGCGAACGGACGAGACGCUUGCUUCUCUGAUGUUAGCGGCGGACGGGUGAGUAACACGUGGAUAACCUACCUAUAAGACUGGGAUAACUUCGGGAAACCGGAGCUAAUACCGGAUAAUAUUUUGAACCGCAUGGUUCAAAAGUGAAAGACGGUCUUGCUGUCACUUAUAGAUGGAUCCGCGCUGCAUUAGCUAGUUGGUAAGGUAACGGCUUACCAAGGCAACGAUGCAUAGCCGACCUGAGAGGGUGAUAGGCCACACUGGAACGGAGACACGGUCCAGACUCCUACGGGAGGCAGCAGUAGGGAAUCUUCCGCAAUGGGCGAAAGCCUGACGGAGCAACGCCGCGUGAGUGAUGAAGGUCUUCGGAUCGUAAAACUCUGUUAUUAGGGAAGAACAUAUGUGUAAGUAACUGUGCACAUCUUGACGGUACCUAAUCAGAAAGCCACGGCUAACUACGUG